UGGCAAGUAACUCAUGGAUCCACCUGCCUA
rnacentral:piRNA from 1 species